ACCAGCAGCCUGAACUGGCUGGGGCAUCCGGAAGGCUUAGAUCUUGUGGCCAAGAGUUCAGACCGUGGCGAAGUGGAGAGUGACAUGCAGUUGGAUGGCGGUGACUGCGUGGUAUGGAAGAAAAUUCAGCUGAAAUUUGCUAGAAAAUGAGUUGUUUUGGAAAGAGACUGUAGAGAAAGGCAAAUGGAAGAAGAAAGCUUCUGUGCCCCCACAGAUACCGACUGAAAAGUGUUAGCAUGAGCAAAAGUUCCUAUCUAAUAUUAUAUGCUUUCCUUUGCUCCCAGAUGAUGUCAGAAGUGGGAUCCAAAGUAGAGCUUAUAAUGACACCUAGGAGUGCUGAGUGACCAAGCAAGGUACCCACCAGGCCGAUUAUGUCCAUUGUUCUCUUGGAGCAGCUGGUCAUCAUGAGCCAAUAAAACUUUUCUUUUGAGUGAUUUGCAGCUUUUAACAAACUGAACCUGCUUAUUUCUGUGAACCAACCAGUGAUCUCUUAUGGCUGUUCAAAAGUAACAAGAGAGCAGCAACAUGGAUGCAGGGGGAGGCCAUAAUCAUAAGGGAGUUAACACAAGAAGAAACAACAAAAUUCCACAUGUUUUCAUGGAUAAGUGGGAGCUUAACACUGAGCAUGGGAACAUGAACAUGAACACGAGAAAUAUAGACACUGUGGACUCCUAGAGGUAGGUGGUAGGGAAUGGAAUGUUGGUUGAAAAACUACUUAUUGAACGUUAGGCUCACUACCUGGGUCCAAAAUUGCCAUGUAACAAUCCUACACAUGUAACCCCUGUAUCUCCCUGUAUCUUAAACAAAAGUUGAAAUUCGGAAAAGAAACUGCCUUCACGGUAUCCCUUAUGUGUUGCUAUAUCGUGUUUUCAGUUUCAUUUGUCUCAAGAUAUUUCAUGAUUUCCCUUUUUUGAUCCAUUGCUUAUUCAUGUGUGUGUUGUUUUGUUUCCACAUAUUUGUGUAUUUUCCAAUUGUCCUGUUGUUAUUAAUUUCUAGAUCCAUCUUAUUCUGAUUGAAAAAGAGGUUUGCUAUUAUUUCAAUCUUCUUAAAUUUGUUAAGACUUGGUUUGUGGUGUAACAUGUAACUUGUCCUGGAGAAUGUUCCAGGUGUGCUUGAAAAGGAUGUCUAUUCUGCAAAAUGGAUAUGCAAAAAUGGCUAGCAUUCCUAUACACCAACAAUAGGCAAGCAGGGAGCCAAAUCAUGAUUGAACUCCCAUUCACAAUUUCUACACAAAGACGGAAAUACCUAGAAACACAGCUAACAAGGGAAAUGAAGGACCUCUUUAAGGAGAACCACAAACCACUUCUCAAAGGAAUCAGAGAGAACACAAAAAAAAUAGAAAAGCAUUCCAUGCUCAUGGCCAGGAAGAAUCAAUAUCAUAAAAACGGCCAUACUGCCCAAAGUAAUUUCUAGAUUC
ensembl:lncRNA LINC01278 long intergenic non-protein coding RNA 1278